AACCCAAAUAUGGGAAAAGAAAGAGCUGAAGAAAUGGUGAUUUGAGCACCUAUGAUUUCUCAUAGGUGUUUUUGGAGGUUAACUACAUCAGAAAGAUCAAGACAGUUGGAAAUGGCUAUUCAUAUUAUGGAAACUUUUUCUCACAGAGCUUGAUAAUCAGGUAAAAUGCUGGAAGAUUAUUUGAUGUAUGAUAACAACAAGAGAUCCCAAGCAUCAAUUUAUUUUAUAAUUCUGAAAAAGAAUGCAUUUGACCCAAUUUUUGAAUAUUUUUUUUUGUUUUUACUGUUAAAUAUUCAUCCCAAACACAAUUAGAUUUUAAUUCUCUACAGAAAUUUAUGUAUAAUAUAGAAUGUAAAGUGACAUAUAAAUCACUUAGAAUUUGGUCGGAAAUCAUAAAGUAUUUAAUAGGCAU